AGAACGAACGCUGGCGGCAGGCCUAACACAUGCAAGUCGAACGCCCCGCAAGGGGAGUGGCAGACGGGUGAGUAACGCGUGGGAACGUGCCCUGAGGUACGGAACAACUCCGGGAAACUGGAGCUAAUACCGUAUGUGCCCGAAAGGGGAAAGAUUUAUCGCCUUGGGAUCGGCCCGCGUCUGAUUAGCUAGUUGGUAGGGUAACGGCCUACCAAGGCUACGAUCAGUAGCUGGUCUGAGAGGAUGACCAGCCACACUGGGACUGAGACACGGCCCAGACUCCUACGGGAGGCAGCAGUGGGGAAUAUUGGACAAUGGGCGAAAGCCUGAUCCAGCCAUGCCGCGUGAGUGAUGAAGGCCUUAGGGUUGUAAAGCUCUUUCGGUGGGGACGAUAAUGACGGUACCCGCAGAAGAAGCCCCGGCUAACUUCGCGCCAGCAGCCGC
rnacentral:rRNA from 1 species